AUUGAACGCUGGCGGCAGGCCUAACACAUGCAAGUCGAACGGUAGCACAGAGAGCUUGCUCUCGGGUGACGAGUGCCGGACGGGUGAGUAACGUCUGGGAAACUGCCCGAUGGAGGGGGAUAACUACUGGAAACGUUAGCUAAUACCGCAUAACGUCGCAAGACCAAAGUGGGGGACCUUCGGGCCUCACACCAUCGGAUGUGCCCAGAUGGGAUUAGCUAGUAGGUGGGGUAAUGGCUCACCUAGGCGACGAUCCCUAGCUGGUCUGAGAGGAUGACCAGCCACACUGGAACUUAGACACGGUCCAGACUCCUACGGGAGGCAGCAGUGGGGAAUAUUGCACAAUGGGCGCAAGCCUGAUGCAGCCAUGCCGCGUGUAUGAAGAAGGCCUUCGGGUUGUAAAGUACUUUCAGCGGGGAGGAAGGCGGUGAAGUUAACAGCUUCACCGAUUGACGUUACCCGCAGAAGAAGCACCGGCUAACUCCGUGCCAGCCGCCGCAGUAA
rnacentral:rRNA from 1 species